rnacentral:rRNA from 1 species
UCAACGAGUCGGGUUGUUUGGGAAUGCAGCCCAAAUCGGUCGGUAGACUCCGUCCAAGGCUAAAUACAGGUGAGAGACCGAUAGCGAACAAGUACCGCGAGGGAAAGAUGAAAAGGACUUUGAAAAGAGAGUCAAAGAGUGCUUGAAAUUGCCGGGAGGGAAGCGGAUGGGGGCCGGCGAUGCGCCCCGGCCGUAUGCGGAACGGCUCUUGCUGGUCCGCCGCUCGGGUCCCUCGGGGCACUGCGCUGCAACGGCCUGCGGGCUCCCCAU